UACGUAGGUGGCAAGCGUUGUUCGGAAUUACUGGGCGUAAAGCGCACGUAGGCGGAUUGUUAAGUUAGGGGUGAAAUCCCAGGGCUCAACCCUGGAACUGCCUUUAAUACUGGCAAUCUCGAGUCCGAGAGAGGUGAGUGGAAUUCCGAGUGUAGAGGUGAAAUUCGUAGAUAUUCGGAGGAACACCAGUGGCGAAGGCGACUCACUGGCCCGAUACUGACGCUGAGGCGCGAAAGCGUGGGGAGCAAACAGG
rnacentral:rRNA from 1 species